AGAGCAAAUUUUCCUUCUUCGUUUUCGGCAUUUCUAUAUUCUGAAAUAGUUUGCCAAUUCAGUGCUUCAUUUGUCGAGUCAAUCUUCCUGGAGAAGACUUGAAAAGGAUUUCCCGAGCAUAGUUGAGAUCAAUGUGAAAAUAAUAAUGCCGAAUCCACAUUCUUUGGAAACGAAAGACCCCAGGCCUGCGAGUAUUAUAAUCUUAUAAGGAGAUUACUAGAGGAGAGUGAUCAGAGGAUACUGACGGCAAAUGGUCGACUCUGGUGGAAGCAAAACGGCUUUUAUAUAGAAGCGGGCAGUCCCCAUUCAAAAGGAUUCUAUCUAGUCUGGCCCAGAUACAAUGUUGACCGGUUUGAUUAUUGCUCCAAGUCAAUUUGCUGUCAUUGAAAGCCCAAUCAAAUAAUCCAAACGAGAAAAUCAUAUCUUCAAAGCUCAUCACUUCAAUAAAGGCAUUGAAGUCAGGAGGCCGACCCCCAAGUUUUUUCUAAUGGAUCCGCAAUUACAUUAAAGUUCCCCCUACUAGCCACGGGAAGUUAAUGCAAGUCGAUAGGUCCUUCAAUCAUCGAGUACAUUAUCAACUU
rnacentral:lncRNA from 1 species